rnacentral:miRNA from 1 species
ACCUGAUCGUUGCAGAGGGGGGCCCACAGCACACUCUCCUUUCCCUUCCAAGCAGCUCCCUUCAGCUCAUCUGUCUAAAUCUUGCGAGUCCCGCGGCCGCAAGAGUUAGACAGCGGAGCUGCUGGGAAGGGAAGUGAGAGUGUGCUGCGGGCCCCCUUCUGCAGAGUCCAG